GUUUGCCAAACAAAUCAAUUAAGCGCGCGCACACACAGAGACGCCAUGCACUCCGACUCCUCCGACGACAUGCUUGCCAUAGUGGUUCCCGCCGAUGACGAAUCUUACCCAUUCAUUCGCUCUAUGGCAAACUACGCCGCAAGCAAACUUUCUUCUCUCUCGGAAUCCGAUAUAUCCCUCCUCGCCGACGAUGCUUUAUCUCGCCUAAUCGAGUACGAGUUAAAUCGCCUACCUGAAGACGAGUUAAAUCGUCUCGCCGAUGCCGCGGUUUCUCCCUUCUUACCUAUCGCCGAAUCCAUCAUAGCUAGUAUUUUCUCCCCUUUUCAUAGUAAACCCGAACACAAAGAAGGAGAACAAUCCUCCGUAACCUUCCCUCAGUUGGCUUUCUAUUUUGUUACCUCAUUUCUUCAGUGUUUCGCCGGCGUCGCUGCCAUGGGAUCUAUAGCUAUUGUCUUGGAAAUUUUCUUCAAGCGGUUGGGCAAAAAAUUGUCAUCUUUUAAACUGAGACAUGAGGUCAUUGUCCCUAUCAUUGCUACUCAGGAGGAGAAACUGAAACUUUCAAAGAGGUCCAUCUUUUUGUCUAAAACUAAAUAUUCAAGAACUCUUGAUUUGAAGGGUCUUAAAGGCAUCGGAGAAACCUACAUUCAAGAAACUGACACAGGCUUUAGACAGGGUCUUAAAGGCAUUGGAGAAACCUACAUUCAAGAAACUGACACGGCUUUAGACAGAUGAUGAUCCAAGAGUCUUUUGUGAAUGAAGAGUCUUUCCCCUUGCUCGUGAUUGCACCCAUGAUGUAAAAAGAAUCAGAUUAGGGGAAAAGAAGUUUGCUCUGAAGUUAGUAAUGGAAAAUUUCAUUAAAGCUGUAAUUUCCAUAACCGUUAUAGAAUUAGUUGUAUUAAUACUUUAUUUGGUACCUGGAGGCCAUUACAUUUUAACUGCAGGUGUACUUUGCAACUUGUAAUAAAUUUUAUUUUUAUUUAAAAAUGAUAAAUUAUUAUAGAUAAAUAUUUUA